UGGGCAUCGGAGAGGGUGUGAGAGGAGGAUGUGAGUAUCCGCAGCAGGUGCAGAGCGCAAAGCAUGCAGCAGUGGUGGUGGGGAAGAAGCAGCAGCGGAUGAUGCCGUGUCAGCCUCCUCCCCUCGAACUGGCAAGCUUUUAGAAGUUUUCGAUGUUAACCUGCAGGAAUGGAGCAACUCAGAAGUAAGUCCUAUGCGCCGCUGAAACGAAUUCAACCUUAAAACCGUAGACGAAGUCCUAUCCUCAAAACCCUUCACUUCAGGUGCUGAAAGUAUCUGUGAGAGAAGACAGUGCUGCUGAUUCUGUUUUGAAUAUUCGGCUUUAUGGCCCAAAUACAGACUUUGUGAUCGAUCGCAAGAGAGAGUUGAAGCCUUUUCUUCUACUCUGCCGCUAUUACUUAUUUUACUAAAGACUCGAUACAAUCUCAAGUUGAUAUAUUGGCUCAUCUGUGCUUUUGUUUCUCUGGAAAUUCUUGGAAAGCUUACAGCAAUGGCCGUUCCUUACAACAUUAAGGUAAGAAUCUAAUUAAUUGCAGCUUCAUAGGAGUGGAAUCAAUUUUUGAUGAAAAGUGUAUUUACUGUUUGUUUAUGUUCUAUUUGGAGUAACUGAUUUGGAGUUCUUGCUUUAUGGAUGUUAAAACUAGAUUAGAUACUAGGACACUGAUAAUUUCUGCAUAGUGAACAGUUGCAUAUCAACAUAUUUACCUGCUAGAUGCUUUCAAC